CAAAACAGCACGCCUGUCUUCGGACGGGUUCGCUACCAACCCUUUGUUUUCCAAACCUCGUUGCCUCCGGGGCGACCCUGACCUCCGGGUCACGGGGGACCCCGGGUGGACAUUCAAACUCUGCGUAACUUUGCAGUCUGAGUAAAACAAGUUAAUAAAUUA
rnacentral:misc_RNA from 1 species